rnacentral:sRNA from 1 species
GCUGGAUGUGGUGGUGCAUACCUGUAAUCCCAGUGUCUCAGGAGGCUGAGGCAGGAGGAUUUCCAGUUCAAAGCCAACCUCAGCAAAAAGUGAGGUGUUAAGCAAGUCAUUGAGACCCUGUCUCUA